rnacentral:lncRNA from 1 species
CAAUAUCGGAUGAAGAAGCUAUUUACAUAUCCUCAAAUGGCAGUGACCACGUGCUACUGAGGAGCUGUUACACGUAAUUCACCUGGGGGAGGCUGUGGCCUGGGACCAGACUUGUCCAUGCUCACUGGUUAGGAGCGUUGUUGUUUCCUGGAGUUUGGUAGCAGCAAGGAAAAUAUGCAGAAAGCACCCUAGAAGCAAAAUUGCUUCAACUGCCAUUAAUCAGUUCCCUGUCCUUGCCUGAAUCUGGCUUGCUGUGUGUCAGAGCUGCUGCAGCUGCCGAGGGAGACGCCGAGGUGCAGCUUCUGAUC